rnacentral:misc_RNA from 1 species
GUAUAGACGUGGAAAAAGAAGAGAGAAACGGCGUGAAAAAAGGCAAAAGAAACGUGACAAGAGAUCCAGACGUAGAUCAAGAAGGUAUUUAUCACAACUUGUAUUAAUUUUAUUUUACAUACAGUUUUUCUUCGGUUCAAUUUUAUUUUACAUGAGUUUUCUUUUCAGUUCAGUUGUCCAUGCUACAAUAUUGAAGAAAAAAGAAAUUGGUCAUUGAUAAAUUGCUAAUAGAUUAUUCUGGAUAGACUGAAUCAUUGUCUUUCAUAGAUAAUUUGGUAGAAAUGUCUGCCUGGAUAUUUGUCCGUGCUUUGAGGUACUAUUUUUAUAGGAUAACUAGAUAACUAUACUCUGUGUGGUAUGGAGCUUCUUUAUUUCUAUGAAGUACUUCAUUAUCUCUCUUCCAGUGUUUAGAAUUGAUACUUUUUUGGGCACAAAUGCUUGUAUCCUUUUCCAGUAAGAAAAUAAAUAUUAUUGAUGAAAAGGGUUGUGGAAUAAAGCUUGGAGGAGGUUUCUGCCUAAACUAAACAAUAUAUAAAGGCACUAACAAUUAUAGUGCUUGCCUUCAAUCAUGCUAAAUAUGACAUUGCCUCAAAAACUCUUUGAAUUAUAAGUGUACAUUGUACAAAAAAGCCAGGAAAAUUGCCUGCUUCUUAAAAAGACAUCUUAUUACCACAAAGAAAGGGGGAUUCUCAAGGACUUUGUAUGCCCAAAAAAAUUUGUCUGUACCAUCACAUAAUCCAUAUGGAUUUUUUUUUUCGUUUUCUCUAGGAAGGUAUUAUUGGUAACUAGUAUCUGCAUUUUGAUUGAAAGGAUUUGUGUCACAUUGCAACUGCAAUCAUUUUCCUGCAAAUCCAUUUCCCUUCUCACAUUGUAAUUAUACAUUUGCACCUGUCUAUCUUAGUUCAAAAUGGUUAGGUAAUGUCUAUGGGAAGUACUUUCCAUUAGAUGCUUGAACUGUUACUGUUAUGUUUUAGUUUUGGAGCCUGUUAGCCUUAAUUUUUUUACCCAAUAGCUUUACACUCCGUUUUGUGAUUUGACAGUGAUGUCUUUUUUGCAUGGCAUUAUUAAUUUUCUUAAUCUAAAUCUUAGGGCAUCAGAUAGCCUUACUGAAGAUGAGAGUGAGAGUAAAAGUGGAGGCAGCUCUGAUGAUGAUGAUCUUGAAGUCCAGGCGAAAGAUCGAAGACGUAAAGAUGCUUCGAUGAAAAAUGGUAGUACUCGGACUCAUCUUAUCUGUAAUUUUUUUAAUCAUUUUACUUGUAUCGUUUUCUGUCUCUAAACAGCAUUGGAGCAUUUCAAUAGUUUGUUCUACUUGUUAUCUGAUGACACUGCACAAUCUCCUUGUUAACUUUAUUCUUUACUGGUGGUGUUUGUAUCUUGCACUGUUGGUCAUCAUUUCAUUGGAGAUUGUUAUGUGCUAUGAGUAUCAUAUUAGACUAUCUUAAUCAUUUGUUUUAUUCAAUGUUCAGCAGGGGAUCAGUUGCCUGUGGUUCUGGAGGAAGAUGCUUCCUUGCCUCAUAAAAUGAGGGAAGAACAAGAUAUACUCAAAAAGGAAGAGGGUGGAUCCCCUAAGGAAAAUGGAGGGCGGCGGAGCAAUGGCAUUGAGGCAGAUGCU